UAGGGAAUCUUCCACAAUGGACGAAAGUCUGAUGGAGCAACGCCGCGUGAGUGAAGAAGGUUUUCGGAUCGUAAAGCUCUGUUGUUGGUGAAGAAGGAUAGAGGCAGUAACUGGUCUUUAUUUGACGGUAAUCAACCAGAAAGUCACGGCUAACUACGUUCCAG
rnacentral:rRNA from 1 species